UGGGGAAUAUUGGACAAUGGGCGAAAGCCUGAUCCAGCCAUGCCGCGUGAGUGAUGAAGGCCCUAGGGUUGUAAAGCUCUUUCACCGGUGAAGAUAAUGACGGUAACCGGAGAAGAAGCCCCGGCUAACUUCGUGCCAGCAGCCGCGGUAAUACGAAGGGGGCUAGCGUUGUUCGGAAUUACUGGGCGUAAAGCGCACGUAGGCGGACUAUUAAGUCAGGGGUGAAAUCCCGGGGCUCAACCCCGGAACUGCCUUUGAUACUGGUAGUCUCGAGUCCGGAAGAGGUGAGUGGAAUUCCGAGUGUAGAGGUGAAAUUCGUAGAUAUUCGGAGGAACACCAGUGGCGAAGGCGGCUCACUGGUCCGGUACUGACGCUGAGGUGCGAAAGCGUGGGGAGCAAACAGGAUUAGAGACCCGUGUAG
rnacentral:rRNA from 1 species